AUUUGAUAUUCCUAAUGUCUAUUUGCCAUCUUUCCCUCUACCACUCAAAGUUCAGGUAUGAAUUUCUUAUGAAAAAAAUAUUUUGUUUGAAGAAUUUCUUUUUUUUUUUAAAUUUAAAGUGUAUCACUAUACAAUAAUUUAAUAAAGAGAUGAUAUGCAAGUGGCAAGUUGUUUCAAUGAAAUGAAAUACAAUAUGGCAGACAUAUUUCAGAAUUCCUAUGAAAUCACUGUUGCUUUGCACUUUUAGAGUGCAUUAAACAUAGUAUUUGCUUAGGUAAUCACUCACAAUUAAUAUAGCUUAUUCAAGCAGAUAAUCAGCUAAAAUAAAUUUGCAAACAUUCACAUAUUCAUAAUGAUUUAAUACUAAGUCUGAUUUUGAUAAAGGUGAGUUUGCUAGCCAACAUUGUUCCAAAGGAGCACCAAAAUGUUGUGGUUCAGUGCAAGAUUGGCUUAUGCAUUUUAUUCUGUAAUAAUGUUUAACCUACAAAAAGUCUUUAGUUCACAAUCAUAUGAGUUGUAAAGGUUAGCAAUUAUCAAUAGUAUCUUGCUAAUGGCUUACAUUUAUGACCAGGUUAACUGACACUUUACAGGAACAAUUCCAAAACUGUCUACAAACUAGGGACGAAAAUGUUUUUCAGAGCGUCAUAUAUGCUUGAGAAAUGUAGAUUUUGAAACAGGAGGAAUGGUUAACAUGAGUUUUAAAUGGAAUUAUUAAAUACAGGUUAUGAAUCUUGACGAACAAAGUUAACCUGCACCUACCCUAAUUUCUAAUAAUGUUCAAAACGUAUUAUUGAACAUCAGCUACAGCAGCUGUUAUGACAAUUAUACACAACAAAAUAAUUUUUUUAGCAUUCACAAGUGGCAAUUAUAGCUCUUAGAUGCAUAGUAGCGGUAUAUUGGCAUGCCAAACAUAGAAAAGGAUGUGAAUUCUCUGUUAAGGCACUAUCCAAAAUAUAAUAACAGCCCCUUUAUGUACAAAUUAUGUUUUAUGUAUGUGUCCUUGAAAUCCAUAAUACAGAAUGAUAUAUGCAACCUGGAUAGAUUUAAA